AGUAGAAGAAGGGGAUUGAGGAGGAAUGAGGGACGUGAAAAGGGAGAAACUGUGAAAUGAAUCUACUGUCUUGUCAAGAGCAUCACGGAGUAAAUAUCUGGGAAAAGUUUCUGAGUUCUUUAUUUUACAUGCAGGAAAAUGAAGGUGCAUAAAAAGAGCUGGCUUCAAAGCCUUUUAGCCCAUUGCAGUGAGUGGAUAUCCCUUUAAAUCUCAAAAGCCCUGUUUCUGUAAGUCUUUUGGUGACUGCCCAAAGGAUGACCCUGUCUCUCAGUGGACAUCCUGGGACUUUUUGAAAGUUCCCAUUGCCCACAAGAUCUGCCCUGCAAUAUCAACACUUGGAGGCCUUUACAUCAAAAUAUUUGACAGGAAUACCUCAAUUCAAGAAGAGAACAUUUUCUGGAAUUAAAGAGAAUAUUAGGGACAAUGAAACUUUGAGGAAUCACUGAGUGGGGUAGAGGUUUUUGUUGUUUAGCGUUAUCCUAGUGGAAAAGAUCACUGGGUUAGGAGAGACAAAAUGGUUGGUUUUAUGAUGUGUGGAUCAUAAAAGCUCACAAAUUUUCUCUGUCCUGAGUUGGCAUGUACUAUACUCUGUCUAAUUAACACUUGAAUGAUCUUUAGAAGUUGCCUAGCUGUUCUAGAGGACAGUUGGGCUUCAUGUUACCUUUGGGCAACCUCCACUCCUAGAACACUUAUUCCAUGAGAAGGUUUUUAAUUUCUGAAAUGAUUAUCACUUUGGAUGCUGUGGCAAGAAAAUUCUCCCAUCAAUCAUUCUAUAAGCUGAGAGAAUUAUAUAUUUUCAAUAGAAAUGGCACCUCUAUCUUGAGGUCCAGAUUGUAUUUACAUAUAGAGCAAUAAGUUCUUACUAGAGUUUAAUAAUUUUUAUCAAUGUAUUAUUAUUUUCUCUUAUAGGCCUGCAAUAAUUUUCUUACUCUCAUUGAUUAUCUUCCAGGAAAUCAUCACAUUUUAUUCAAAAAUAUUGAUUAUGUGAAAAUUUAUUUUUUGGAGAAAGUAAAAAAAAAAAAAAAGAAGAAUCCCUGGAUGUUUAUGAUCCUCAGUACUUCAUUGACUAUUUCCUGAUAAAAAUGGCCCAGAAGCACCCAUCCCCAGAUGACAACCUGUUUUUCCCCAACCAGACCUCAAAUGGAACUGACUUCUAAAAGGGAACUCAUGUCCCCCAUGUCAUCGUCCCCCACGUCGUCCAUUGUCCCCCAUGUCAUUGAGCCCCCUCAUGUUCGACACGCCUUUUCAGCUCUGAAGCAGCCAGAACGAGCCAUUGCCCCUUCUCACCCCUUCUCCUUACAGCAACAAAGUUUCUAAAAUUAGGGGAAAUAAAGCCAGAAAUGGUUAGGCAGUGUAGAUAGGUAAAUAGAGUCAGGUUGGAUCUAGGAGGCCAGUUUUAAGUGAGUUUGGGAAGUUGAAGACUGUCUCCUGAGGAUUACUGUUUACCAGGAUGUAGAGCCUGUCCAAAUAGGCCCCCAACUGAGGAAACCAUGAUUGGUUCCCAAGUUUCCAGACAAAGGGGGAAUGAAAAACUAGCCUCUACCUCAGAGAAAAGCCUGUCCAAGGAAGGGACAUGACCUUAGUCCUUGGAAAAACCCACAGAGCACUCCUAAGCACAUUCCCACCCUGCUAAGUUGUUUAUCUACAAAUAACAGGAGAGAUCUGCUGCGCCAGGUGUCCCUGACUCAGUCAGGCUAGGUGGAGAUCCAUAGCAGCCCCCUAGCAGCCACCAAUCAGCAUGAGACAGGGAAAUACCUGGGAUGCCAGAUAACCCUCCCAGUGGUUUAUGGUGGUUAAUAACAAGUUUGGAAACCAUGUAGUUCAGCACGUACACCCCUCUUGGCUCAAACCAAUCAGUUCAAACGAAUACCCCUUUUGUACUGACCAAUCACCCCUACCCAACUUGUUCCCGCCAGUGAAUGUGCUAAUCAUGUUUUAGAGUUGUUAUUUGAUUUUCCCACGGUGUGUGAUGAUUUGCUAAAAGAGGCUAUGAUGUAUGUGAAGUCCCUGCCUUCUCCAAAAAAUGUAUAAAACUGCUGCAAACCCUGGGCUCGGGGCCUCUCAGCAUCACCAGUUGCUGUGUGGGCAUGCAGAGGACCGAGCUAGCUCGCAAUAAACACCUCUUUGCUGCUUGCAUCGA